AAUCUUGCGCAAUGGGCGAAAGCCUGACGCAGCAACGCCGCGUGGAGGACGAAGGCUUUCUGAGUUGUAAACUCCUUUCAGCAGGGACGAUUGUGACGGUACCUGCAGAAGAAGCACCGGCCAACUACGUGCCAGCAGCCGCGGUGAUACGUAGGGUGCAAGCGUUGUCCGGAUUUAUUGGGCGUAAAGAGCUCGUAGGCGGUUCGAUAAGUCGGGUGUGAAAUCUCCAGGCUCAACCUGGAGUCGCCACUCGAUACUGUCGUGACUAGAGUCCGGUAGGGGACCAUGGAAUUCCUGGUGUAGCGGUGAAAUGCGCAGAUAUCAGGAGGAACACCAGUAGCGAAGGCGGUGGUCUGGGCCGGAACUGACGCUGAGGAGCGAAAGCGUGGGGAGCGA
rnacentral:rRNA from 1 species